rnacentral:rRNA from 1 species
CCUACGGGUGGCAGCAGUGAGGAAUAUUGGUCAAUGGACGAGAGUCUGAACCAGCCAAGUAGCGUGAAGGAUGACUGCCCUAUGGGUUGUAAACUUCUUUUAUAUGGGAAUAAAAUGUUCCACGUGUGGGGUUUUGUAUGUACCAUAUGAAUAAGGAUCGGCUAACUCCGUGCCAGCAGCCGCGGUAAUACGGAGGGGCCGAGCGUUAUCCGGAUUUAUUGGGUUUAAAGGGAGCGUAGGUGGAUUGUUAAGUCAGUUGUGAAAGUUUGGGGCUCAACCGGAAAAUUGCAGUUGAAACUGGCAGUCUUGAGUGCAGGAGAGGUGGGCGGAAUUCGUGGUGUAGCGGUGAAAUGCUUAGAUAUCACGAAGAACUCCGGUUGCGAAGGCAGUUCACUGGACUGCAACUGACACUGAGGCUCGAAAGUGUGGGUAGCAAACAGGAUUAGAUACCCUAGUAGUC